rnacentral:rRNA from 1 species
UACGGGGGGGGGCAAGCGUUGUUCGGAUUUACUGGGCGUAAAGGGCGCGUAGGCGGCCACCGCAAGUCGACUGUGAAAUCUCCGGGCUUAACCCGGAAAGGUCAGCCGAUACUGCGGGGCUAGAGUGCAGAAGGGGCAACUGGAAUUCCCGGUGUAGUGGUGAAAUGCGUAGAUAUCGGGAGGAACACCAGUGGCGAAAGCGGCUUCCUGGACCAGUACCGACGUUCAGGCACGAAAGCGUGGGGAGCAAACAGG